rnacentral:rRNA from 1 species
GUACACUCCUGCGGGAGGCAGCAGUGGGGAAUUUUGGACAAUGGGGGCAACCCUGAUCCAGCAAUGCCGCGUGAGUGAAGAAGGCCUUCGGGUUGUAAAGCUCUUUUGUCAGGGAAGAAACGGUGGUGGCGAAUAACUACUACUAAUGACGGUACCUGAAGAAUAAGCACCGGCUAACUACGUGCCAGCAGCCGCGGUAAUACGUAGGGUGCAAGCGUUAAUCGGAAUUACUGGGCGUAAAGCGUGCGCAGGCGGUUGUGUAAGUCAGAUGUGAAAUCCCCGGGCUCAACCUGGGAAUUGCAUUUGAGACUGCACGGCUAGAGUGUGUCAGAGGGGGGUAGAAUUCCACGUGUAGCAGUGAAAUGCGUAGAUAUGUGGAGGAAUACCGAUGGCGAAGGCAGCCCCCUGGGAUAACACUGACGCUCAUGCACGAAAGCGUGGGGAGCAAACAGGAUUAGAAACCCCUGUAGUCCCAUGA